rnacentral:rRNA from 1 species
GACGAACGCUGGCGGCGUGCUUAACACAUGCAAGUCGAACGGAAAGGCCCUGCUUUUGUGGGGUGCUCGAGUGGCGAACGGGUGAGUAACACGUGAGUAACCUGCCCUUGACUUUGGGAUAACUUCAGGAAACUGGGGCUAAUACCGGAUAGGAGCUCCUGCUGCAUGGUGGGGGUUGGAAAGUUUCGGCGGUUGGGGAUGGACUCGCGGCUUAUCAGCUUGUUGGUGGGGUAGUGGCUUACCAAGGCUUUGACGGGUAGCCGGCCUGAGAGGGUGACCGGCCACAUUGGGACUGGGAUACGGCGCAGACUCCUACGGGAGGCAGCAGUGGGGAAUAUUGCACAAUGGGCGGAAGCCUGAUGCAGCAACGCCGCGUGCGGGAUGACGGCCUUCGGGUUGUAAACCGCUUUCGCCUGUGACGAAGCGUGAGUGACGGUAAUGGGUAAAGAAGCACCGGCUAACUACGUG